UAUUCCCUUUGUGAACACAGACCCAUUUCAAAACCUUAAUAAAGUCAUAGAUUACAAUAUUAUAGAGCUUCAGGAAAAACAUGAUCAUCACAGCAAAAUGGAAAAUAAACGAAUCAUUCACUAUUAGUCUAGGAACACACGCAUCUCAUUAGCAAGCAGGGCUACUCACACGCAUCUCAUUAGCAAGCAGGGCUACUCACACGCAUCUCAUUAGCAAGCAGGGCUACUCACACGCAUCUCAUUAGCAAGCAGGGCUACUCACACGCAUCUCAUUAGCAAGCAGGGCUACUCACACGCAUCUCAUUAGCAAGCAGGGCUACUCACACGCAUCUCAUUAGCAAGCAGGGCUACUCACACGCAUCUCAUUAGCAAGCAGGGCUACUCACACGCAUCUCAUUAGCAAGCAGGGCUACUCACACGCAUCUCAUUAGCAAGCAGGGCUACUCACACGCAUCUCAUUAGCAAGCAGGGCUACUCACACGCAUCUCAUUAGCAAGCAGGGCUACUCACACGCAUCUCAUUAGCAAGCAGGGCUACUCACACGCAUCUCAUUAGCAAGCAGGGC